rnacentral:rRNA from 1 species
CCUACGGGGCGCAGCAGUGGGGAAUUUUGGACAAUGGGCGCAAGCCUGAUCCAGCUAUUCCGCGUGUGGGAUGAAGGCCCUCGGAUUGUAAACUUCUGUUCUUAGUGAAGAAAAAUGACGGUAGCUAAGGAGCGAGCCACGGCUAACUACGUGCCAGCAGCCGCGGUAAUACGUAGGUGGCAAGCGUUGUCCGGAAUUACUGGGUGUAAAGGGAGCGCAGGCGGGGAGCCAAGUCAGCUGUGAAAACUACGGGCUUAACUUGU